UACACAUGCAGUCGACGAUGAAGCCGGAGCUUGCUCUGGUGGAUUAGUGGCGAACGGGUGAGUAACACGUGAGCAACCUGCCCCUGACUCUGGGAUAAGCGCUGGAAACGGUGUCUAAUACUGGAUAUGUCCCGUCACCGCAUGGUGUGCGGGUGGAAAGAUUUUUCGGUUGGGGAUGGGCUCGCGGCCUAUCAGCUUGUUGGUGAGGUAAUGGCUCACCAAGGCGUCGACGGGUAGCCGGCCUGAGAGGGUGACCGGCCACACUGGGACUGAGACACGGCCCAGACUCCUACGGGAGGCAGCAGUGGGGAAUAUUGCACAAUGGGCGGAAGCCUGAUGCAGCAACGCCGCGUGAGGGAUGACGGCCUUCGGGUUGUAAACCUCUUUUAGCAGGGAAGAAGCGAGAGUGACGGUACCUGCAGAAAAAGCACCGGCUAACUACGUGCCAGCAGCCGCGGUAAUACGUAGGGUGCAAGCGUUAUCCGGAAUUAUUGGGCGUAAAGAGCUCGUAGGCGGUCUGUCGCGUCUGCUGUGAAAUCC
rnacentral:rRNA from 1 species